rnacentral:rRNA from 1 species
ACCUGACUGCUAUCGGAUUGGUACUAAGCCAUGCGAGUCAUUGUAGCAAUACAAGGCGGACGGCUCAGUAACACGUAGUCAACCUAACUCGUGGACGUGGAUAACCUCGGGAAACUGAGAAUAAACCACGAUAGAUCAUAGUGCCUGGAAUGGCUUAUGGUCCAAACAGUUUACUGCCAUGGGAUGGGACUGCGGCCUAUCAGCUUGUUGGUGAGGUAAUGGCCCACCAAGGCGAUUACAGGUACGGGCUCUGAGAGGAGAAGCCCGGAGAUGGGUACUGAGACACGGACCCAGGCCCUAUGGGGCGCAGCAGGCGAGAAACCUUAGCAAUGUGCGAAAGCACGACUGGGUCAGUCCGAGUGAUUCCUGAUAAAGGAGUCUUUUGCCUGUCCUAAAAGCACAGGUGAAUAAGGGGUGGGCAAGUCUGGUGUCAGCCGCCGCGGUAAUACCAGCACCUCGAGUGGUCAGGACGUUUAUUGGGCCUAAAGCAUCCGUAGCCGGCUCUGCAAGUCUUCGGUUAAAUCCACCUGCUCAACAGAUGGGCCGCUGGAGAUACUACAGAGCUAGGGAGUGGGAGAGGCAGACGGUAUUCAGUGGGUAGGGGUAAAAUCCUCUGAUCCAUUGAGGACCACCAGUGGCGAAGGCGGUCUGCCAGAACACGUUCGACGGUGAGGGAUGAAAGCUGGGGGAGCAAACCGGAUUAGAUACCCGGGUAGUCCCAGCUGUAAACGAUGCAAACUCGGUGAUGCAUUGGCUUAUGGCCAAUGCAGUGCCGCAGGGAAGCCGUUAAGUUUGCCGCCUGGGAAGUACGGACGCAAGUCUGAAACUUAA